rnacentral:rRNA from 1 species
UUACGAGGUCAGGACACUGUGAGGAUUGACAGAUUGAAAGCUCUUUCUUGAUUCAGUGGGUGGUGGUACAUGGCCGUUCUUAGUUGGUGGAGUGAUUUGUCUGGUUAAUUCCGUUAACGAACGAGACCUUAACCUGCUAAAUAGUCACGCGAACCGGUCCGCAAGGGCUCAAAGUUCGCGGCUCGACUUCUUAGAGGGACUAUUCGCACCCGCCAGCGAAUGGAAGUUUGAGGCAAUAACAGGUCUGUGAUGCCCUUAGAUGUUCUCGGCCGCACGCGCGUUACACUGACGGAGUCAACGAGCGUUUUUCCUUGCCCGACAGGGCUGGGUAACCUCCUGAAACUCCGUCGUGAUGGGGAUAGAUCAUUGCAAUUAUUGAUCUUGAACGAGGAAUUCCUAGUAGGCGCGAGUCAUCAACUCGCGCCGAUUACGUCCCUGCCCUUUGUACACACCGCCCGUCGCUCCUACCGAUUGAACGGUCCGGCGAGAACUCCGGAUGGUC